rnacentral:rRNA from 1 species
AGAGUUUGAUCAUGGCUCAGGAUGAACGCUAGCGGCAGGCCUAACACAUGCAAGUCGAGGGGUAGCAGGAUUAAGCUUGCUUAAUUGCUGACGACCGGCGCACGGGUGCGUAACGCGUAUGCAACCUACCUUAUACUGGGGUAUAGCCCGGAGAAAUUCGGAUUAAUCCCCCAUAGUACUAUUUAACCGCAUGGUUGAAUAGUUAAAGUAUUGCGGUAUAAGAUGGGCAUGCGUCCUAUUAGCUAGAUGGUGAGGUAACGGCUCACCAUGGCUACGAUAGGUAGGGGGCCUGAGAGGGUGGUCCCCCACACUGGUACUGAGACACGGACCAGACUCCUACGGGAGGCAGCAGUGAGGAAANAUUGUUCAAUGGGCGCAAGCCUGACCAGCCCAUGCCGCGUGCAGGAAGAAUGCCCCUAUGGGUGUAAACUGCUUUUAUUUGGGAAAUAAACCUCUUUACGUGUAGAGAGCUGAAGGGUACCAAAUGAAUAAGCACCGGCUAACUCCGUGCCCAGCCAGCCCGCGGUAAAUACGGAGGGUGCAAGCGUUAUCCGAAUCAUUGGUUUAAAGGGGUCCCGCAGGCGGAUUUAUAAGUCAGUGGUGAAAUCCUAUCGCUUAACGAUAGAACUGCCAUUGAUACUGUAAGUCUUGAAUUCGGUCGGA